CCGGUGCGAGAUGACAACUUAGAAAGAGCAAAUCGGAGGCNUGGGGCCGGCCGACGUGUGGGGGAGUACCAAGACACGCAACACGCCGCGGUCCCCCCCGACGCUGUACGCGGGACGGGAAAAACCGCGCGCGAGUCGGGCGUCCCCGGGUGCAGGUAGAUAGAGAUGAGGAGCGAGGCCCCCGGGGGGUGGUCGCUCGGGGGCAAAAAACGAGAGAAAUCGCGGGGGUUCCGCCGAAGGCGGGGGUUGCGUGGUGGAAUGGGGAGGAAGGGGGAGAGACCUUCCUUCCCUUAUCAUGCCCGGACCUUUGCAAAGAUAUGAGGUUCCCCGAAAGGGAUCCUGGCACACCGUGCGCCAAGGGGUUUGUUCAGAUGGGUUCGGGAGAGCUGCGUUAAGUCCGCCAAAGAGGGGCAACCUUUGCCAUUAGUGCCCACAUUCAGUGGGCACUCUAAUGGGACUGCCGGGGACAACCCGGAGGAAGGUGGGGAUGCCGUCAAGUCCUCAGGGCCCUUAUGGGUAGGGCUUCACACGUAAUACAAUGGCCGGUACAGAGGGCAGCCAACUCGCGAGAGGGAGCUAAUCCCAGAAAGCCGGUCGUAGUCCGGAUUGCAGUCUGCAACUCGACUGCAUGAAGCCGGAAUCGCUAGUAAUCGCGGAUCAGCAUGUCGCGGUGAAUACGUUCCCGGGUCUUGUACACACCGCCCGUCGCACCAUGGGAGUGGGUUCCACCAGAAGUAGUUAGCCUAACCGCAAGGAGGGCGACUACCACGGUGAGAUUCAUGACUGGGGUGAAGUCGUAACAAGGUAAAUGGAA
rnacentral:rRNA from 1 species